rnacentral:rRNA from 1 species
GAUGAACGCUGGCGGCGUGCCUAAUACAUGCAAGUCGAGCGAACGGACGAGAAGCUUGCUUCUCUGAUGUUAGCGGCGGACGGGUGAGUAACACGUGGAUAACCUACCUAUAAGACUGGGAUAACUUCGGGAAACCGGAGCUAAUACCGGAUAAUAUUUUGAACCGCAUGGAUCAAAAGUGAAAGACGGUCUUGCUGUCACUUAUAGAUGGAUCCGCGCUGCAUUAGCUAGUUGGUAAGGUAACGGCUUACCAAGGCAACGAUGCAUAGCCGACCUGAGAGGGUGAUCGGCCACACUGGAACUGAGACACGGUCCAGACUCCUACGGGAGGCAGCAGUAGGGAAUCUUCCGCAAUGGGCGAAAGCCUGACGGAGCAACGCCGCGUGAGUGAUGAAGGUCUUCGGAUCGUAAAACUCUGUUACUAGGGAAGAACAUAUGUGUAAGUAACUGUGCACAUCUUGACGGUACCUAAUCAGAAAGCCACGGCUAACUACGUG